AGUGGAAGAAGCUCUUCCAUUGUUGAUCUAUGAUUGACUUGCAAGCGGUCCAAGGGUCAAGACAAUGAAGAAAUAAUUUUGUUGGCACGUGACACUUGAAAGUUGAAAGCGAUCUCAUGGAAGAAAGUCAAGAAACUCAUUAUUGUUGUUUGUUAUUGUUGAAAGUAAUCUCAUGGAAGAAGACAAGAAGUUCAAAAUACAUUGUUUGUUGCUUAUUAUUGUUUAUUAUGAGUUAAUGAAAGACUUUAUUGUUA